GCAUUUUUAUGCAACACGCAUAAUGUAGAGGUAAUCAUUCGGUACGAAAAUGAUACACAGUUAAUAUAAUCUCGCUAACGUACAUACACGGGUAACACAUCAACGCCAUUCGUGUACACUAUCUGGCGGUUCGGCGAGCCAUUAAGACGUAUAAUAUUAAUGAGACUCUGUCGCGAAUAAAUAGGCAGUUUACUUCAUUUAACAUUAGAUGGGAAUUCGGCUCCUCAAAAACGCGCGCCGUUAUUGUUCACAUAUAAUACGGUACUCGUUGCGAGUGACGUCUACGCGAAUAAGUUAUACAGGGUCGUCU